UACAGAGGUCUCAACCGUUGUUCGGAUUCAUUGGGCGUAAAGGGUGCGUAGGCGGUCGCGUAAGUCAGGUGUGAAAUCUCAGGGCUCAACCCUGAAACUGCACUUGAUACUGCGUGGCUCGGGUACUGGAGAGGAGACUGGAAUUUCCGGUGUAGCGGUGAAAUGCGUAGAGAUCGGAAGGAACACCAGUGGCGAAGGCGGCUACCUGGCCUAAUACUGACACUGAGGCACGAAAGCGUGGGGAGCAAACAGG
rnacentral:rRNA from 1 species